CACGUAGGGCGCAAGCGUUUGUCCGGAAUUAUUGGGCGUAAAGAGCUCGUAGGCGGUCUGUUACGUCUGCUGUGAAAAUCCAGGGCUUAACCCUGGGCUUGCAGUGGAUACGGGCAGACUAGAGGCAGGUAGGGGAGAAUGGAAUUCCCGGUGUAGCGGUGAAAUGCGCAGAUAUCGGGAGGAACACCGGUGGCGAAGGCGGUUCUCUGGGCCUGACCUGACGCUGAGGAGCGAAAGCGUGGGGAGCGAACAGG
rnacentral:rRNA from 1 species